rnacentral:rRNA from 1 species
UACGUAGGGUGCGAGCGUUGUCCGGAAUUAUUGGGCGUAAAGAGCUCGUAGGCGGUCUGUCGCGUCGAUCGUGAAAACUUGGGGCUUAACCCUGAGCUUGCGGUUGAUACGGGUUGGCUGGAGUUCGGUAGGGGAGACUGGAAUUCCUGGUGUAGCGGUGAAAUGCGCAGAUAUCAGGAGGAACACCGGUGGCGAAGGCGGGUCUCUGGGCCGAUACUGACGCUGAGGAGCGAAAGCGUGGGGAGCGAACAGG